UUGAAUUGGUUUUGCUAUUUUUAGCUUGUGGCUAGAAAUUGAAUACACAAAAAGUGGAGGGUGAGAAUGAAUUUAAGAGAAUUUUGAGGGCUAUUUUGUAAUUAUUAAAAUCAGCUUACUUAGCUUAUUUAGGCAGCAAUUGGGUUUUCAUUAGGUUGCUCUUGUGGGCUCGUCCCUCUUCAUUUUUUCUUUUUUUCUUUUUUACAAUGGAAGGGCCUAAAGGCCAUUACCUCAAUUAAAUUGCAUCAACAAUUACAAGGUUGUGAAUAUCACUAGGAUAAUCAAUCUCAAAC
rnacentral:lncRNA from 1 species